rnacentral:rRNA from 1 species
AGUGAACGCUGGCGGUAGGCCUAACACAUGCAAGUCGAACGGCAGCACAGUAAGAGCUUGCUCUUACGGGUGGCGAGUGGCGGACGGGUGAGGAAUACAUCGGAAUCUACUUUUUCGUGGGGGAUAACGUAGGGAAACUUACGCUAAUACCGCAUACGCCCUACGGGUGAAAGCAGGGGAUCUUCGGACCUUGCGCGAUUGAAUGAGCCGAUGUCGGAUUAGUUAGUUGGCGGGGUAAAGGCCCACCAAGGCGAGGAUCCGUAGCUGGUCUGAGAGGAUGAUCAGCCACACUGGAACUGAGACACGGUCCAGACUCCUACGGGAGGCAGCAGUGGGGAAUAUUGGACAAUGGGCGCAAGCCUGAUCCAGCCAUACCGCGUGGGUGAAGAAGGCCUUCGGGUUGUAAAGCCCUUUUGUUGGGAAAGAAAAGCAGCAGGUUAAUACCCCGCUGUUCUGACGGUACCCAAAGAAUAAGCACCGGCUAACUUCGUG